rnacentral:ncRNA from 1 species
UUUAGGUUCUCGACAGAUUAAAAGGGAAUGCCGUGCAAAUCGGCAACAGACCCGCUGCUGUGAGUUUCACCAUAAUGUCUCUUUUGCAGAAGACCACUCCACUGAUUUUAUCUUACCGAAAAAUCGGGAAGGAAUACAAGAGAGACCGAAACGAGUCAGAAGACCUGCCUACACCGUA